rnacentral:rRNA from 1 species
GACAGAGGGUGCAAACGUUGUUCGGAAUUACUGGGCGUAAAGCGCGUGUAGGCGGCUUUGCAAGUCGGGCGUGAAAUCCCAUGGCUCAACCAUGGAAGUGCACUCGAAACUGCAGAGCUAGAGUCCUGGAGAGGAAGGUGGAAUGCUUGGUGUAGAGGUGAAAUUCGUAGAUAUCAAGCGGAACACCGGUGGCGAAGGCGGCCUUCUGGACAGUGACUGACGCUGAGACGCGAAAGCGUGGGGAGCAAACGGG